rnacentral:ncRNA from 1 species
CCCGCUGAGUUUAAGCAUAUCAAUAAUUGGGGAAAAAGAAACUACCAACAAUUCCCUUAGUAACGACGAGAGAACCGAGAAAAGCCCACCCUGAGCAUCGGUCACCCUCGGUGUCCGAAUUGGAGACUGGAGAAGCAUCCUCAGUGGCGGACCGAGCUCAAAUCCCCUUGAAGAGGGUGCCAGAGACGGUGAGAGCCUCGUCGUGCCCGGACCCUAUCGCACCACGAGGCGUUGUCGGUGAGUCACUAAAAGUGAUAAAAGUUCAACAAAAGUAGAUAGUAGCUAUUACAACCCACUAAAAGCAAAGAGAAAAUUGAAAGUGCGCAUGUCAAGAGG